rnacentral:rRNA from 1 species
AUUGAACGCUGGCGGCAGGCCUAACACAUGCAAGUCGAGCGAGCGGCGGACGGGUGAGUAAUGUAUGGGAAACUGCCUGAUGGAGGGGGAUAACUACUGGAAACGGUAGCUAAUACCGCAUACCAUCAGAUGUGCCCAGAUGGGAUUAGCUAGUAGGUGGGGUAACGGCUCACCUAGGCGACGAUCCCUAGCUGUUCUGAGAGGAUGACCAGCCACACUGGGACUGAGACACGGUCCAGACUCCUACGGGGGGCAGCAGUGGGGAAUAUUGCACAAUGGGCGCAAGCCUGAUGCAGCCAUGCCGCGUGUCUGAAGAAGGCCCUAGGGUUGUAAAGCACUUUCAGCCGGGAGGCGUUACCCGCAGAAGAAGCACCGGCUAACUCCGUGCCAGCAGCCGCGGUAAUAC